rnacentral:rRNA from 1 species
UCCUACGGGAGGCAGCAGUGGGGAAUAUUGCACAAUGGGGGGAACCCUGAUGCAGCCAUGCCGCGUGAAUGAAGAAGGCCUUCGGGUUGUAAAGUUCUUUCGGUGAUGAGGAAGGUGUUUUGUUUAAUAGACAAGGCAAUUGACGUUAGUCACAGAAGAAGCACCGGCUAACUCCGUGCCAGCAGCCGCGGUAAUACGGAGGGUGCGAGCGUUAAUCGGAAUAACUGGGCGUAAAGGGCACGCAGGCGGAUUGUUAAGUGAGAUGUGAAAGCCCCGAGCAUAACUUGGGAAUUGCAUUUCAGACUGGCAGUCUAGAGUAUUUUAGGGAGGGGUAGAAUUCCACGUGUAGCGGUGAAAUGCGUAGAGAUGUGGAGGAAUACCGAAGGCGAAGGCAGCCCCUUGGGAAUAUACUGACGCUCAUGUGCGAAAGCGUGGGGAGCAAACAGGAUUAGAUACCCUGGUAGUCC